CAACAACUUUUUGACAGUUAUGUCAAAUCCGGGCCGAUUUCUCUUUCCAGUCCAGCUCUGAAAAGGUGCACAUGGAUAUUGUUGAAGUUAAACAAGUACAAGCUUGCCCAGAGUUUUCUUAAGCCGUUUGGAGUGUGAUGCAGCACGUUUCCUUGGCAAUGAAGUGGAGGCUGAUGUUUGUGCAGCUUUCUGCAAUGCACUGAGUAUGAAGAUGUGAUUGUUGUAUGGUUCUAGGUUGAACAUGUUUGCCUCAAGUUCUUUGAAUGCAGAACCACUAUGAAGAUCCAGAACAUUUGUGGGGACAGAGAUGGGCCUUGUGAGUGUGUGCUGUUGAAGAAAUCUCUCAGCUGUCUUGCAGACUUUCAGGACGCUGUCUGACGGUCUUAUAAAUCCACCUCAGGACUUCAUGUCGAUUAGUGUGUUCAUCUUGGGAAGAGCUCUCGACACUGAGUGCUGAUAAACAGGCUGAACGUCACUGCCUGAAAUGCAUAUCAGAAGAUGCUGCCUCCAGUGUCACUGUGAUAUCCGGUGGAGAACUGUUGCCACUAGCUCUGAUGGCACGUCUUGCUACCAUUCUUUUGAAAGCUGAAUAAUGUGGGAUUGUUGUUAAAUCCAUUAGCAGAUUUGUUCCCACAUAUCUGCAAAUUGUUAUUGUAUUGUUCAGUUUAAGUCAAUUUUUUUUAUGUACUUGGAAGCUUUUGUUAUUGAACAAAUAAAUAUGUAUGAUUUCCUUGAGUGUGCAU